AACUUUCAGCAAUGGAUCACUUGGUUCUGGCAUCGAUGAAGAACGCAGCGAAAUGCGAUAAGCAAUGUGAAUUGCAGAAUUUAGUGAAUCAUCGAAUCUUUGAACGCAUAUUGCACCCCUUGGUAUUCCGAGGGGUAUGCCUGUUCGAGCGUCAUUAUGACCACUCCAGCCUGGCUGGGUAUUAGGCCUCGCCAAUAGGCGGGCCUUAAAAUCAGUGGCAGUGCUCUUAGGCUCUACGCGUAGUACCUUUUCUCGCUAUAGAGCCCUGGGGGAUACUGGCCAUCAAAUCUUAACUUCUCAAGGUUGACCUCGGAUCAGGUAGGGAUACCCGCUGAACUUAAGCAUAUCAAUAAGCGGAGGCU
rnacentral:misc_RNA from 1 species